GCCCUAAUUGCAGUAUCUGAUGGGUUGUUGCUGGCUCUCUAGGGAGCAUGUGCACGCCUUGUCAUCUUUAUAUCUCCACCUGUGCACUUUUUGUAGACCUUUCAGGUCUAUGUUGCUUCAUUUUACCCCAAUGUAUGUUAAUAGAAUGUUGUGCCUAUAUAAUAUAUACAACUUUCAGCAACGGAUCUCUUGGCUCUCGCAUCGAUGAAGAACGCAGCGAAAUGCGAUAAGUAAUGUGAAUUGCAGAAUUCAGUGAAUCAUCGAAUCUUUGAACGCACCUUGCGCUCCUUGGUAUUCCGAGGAGCAUGCCUGUUUGAGUGUCAUUAAUAUAUAUCAACCUUCUCCUUGUUGAGAGGUUUGGAUGUGGGGGUCUGCUGGCCUCUUUAAAAGGUUCAGCUCCUCUGAAAUGCAUUAGCAGAACAAACCUUGUUCAUUGGUGUGAUAACUAUCUACGCUAUUGAAUGUGAGGGGCAGUUCGGCUUUCUAACAGUCUUUGGACAAUUCAUCAUUAAUGUGACCUCAAAUCAGGUAGGACUACCCGCUGAACUUAAGCAUAUCAAUAAGCGGAGGAAAAGAAACUAACAAGGAUUCCCCUAGUAACUGCGAGUGAAGCGGGAAAAGCUCAAAUUUAAAAUCUGGCGGUCUUUUGGCUGUCCGAGUUGUAAUCUAGAGAAGUGUUAUCCGCGCUGGACCGUGUAAAAUUCUCUCGGAG
rnacentral:rRNA from 1 species